rnacentral:tRNA from 1 species
GACCGCGUAGCUCAGUCGGAAGAGCAUUGGGCUAGUAUUCCAAAGGUCGUAGGUUCGAAUCCCGCCGUGGGCA